rnacentral:rRNA from 1 species
CGUAGCCUACGGGGGGCAGCAGUGAGGAAUAUUAGUCAAUGGCCGGAAGGCUGAACCAGCCACGCCGCGUGAAGGACGAAGGGGCCAAGCAUUUUAAACUUCUUUUGUCAAGGGACAAAAUCAGGCUCGAGAGCCUGACCGAGGGGACUUGAAGAAAAAGCAUCGGCUAACUCCGUGCCAGCAGCCGCGGUAAUACGGAGGAUGCGAGCGUUAUCCGGAUUUAUUGGGUUUAAAGGGUGCG